GUGGGUAGUUUGACUGGGGCGGUCUCCUCCCAAAGAGUAACGGAGGAGCACGAAGGUGGGCUAAUCACGGUUGGACAUCGUGAGGUUAGUGCAAUGGCAUAAGCCCGCUUAACUGCGAGAAUGACGGUUCGAGCAGGUGCGAAAGCAGGUCAUAGUGAUCCGGUGGUUCUGAAUGGAAGGGCCAUCGCUCAACGGAUAAAAGGUACUCCGGGGAUAACAGGCUGAUACCGCCCAAGAGUUCAUAUCGACGGCGGUGUUUGGCACCUCGAUGUCGGCUCAUCACAUCCUGGGGCUGAAGUCGGUCCCAAGGGUAUGGCUGUUCGCCAUUUAAAGUGGUACGCGAGCUGGGUUUAGAACGUCGUGAGACAGUUCGGUCCCUAUCUGCCGUGGGCGUUGGAAGAUUGAAGGGGGCUGCUCCUAGUACGAGAGGACCGGAGUGGACGAACCUCUGGUGUUCGGGUUGUGUCGCCAGACGCAUUGCCCGGUAGCUAAGUUCGGAAUCGAUAACCGCUGAAAGCA
rnacentral:rRNA from 1 species